rnacentral:rRNA from 1 species
UCAGCGGCGGACGGGUGAUUUACACGUGGGCAACCUGCCCCUAAGAUCGGGAUAACUUCGGGAAACCGGAGCUAAUACCGGAUAUGAUUACGUCUCACAUGAGAUGUAAUGGAAAGACGGUUUCGGCUGUCACUUAGGGAUGGGCCCGCGGCGCAUUAGCUAGUUGGUGAGGUAACGGCUCACCAAGGCGACGAUGCGUAGCCGACCUGAGAGGGUGAUCGGCCACACUGGGACUGAGACACGGCCCAGACUCCUACGGGAGGCAGCAGUAGGGAAUCUUCCGCAAUGGACGAAAGUCUGACGGAGCAACGCCGCGUGAGUGAAGAAGGUUUUCGGAUCGUAAAACUCUGUUGUUAGGGAAGAACAAGUACCAUAGUAACUGAUGGUACCUUGACGGUACCUAACCAGAAAGCCACGGCUAACUACGUGCCAGCAGCCGCGGUAAUACGUAGGUGGCAAGCGUUGUCCGGAUUUAUUCGGCGUAAAGCGCGCGCAGGCGGUCUUUUAAGUCUGAUGUGAAAGCCCACGGCUCAACCGUGGAGGGUCAUUGGAAACUGGGAGACUUGAGUGCAGAAGAGGAGAGUGGAAUUCCACGUGUAGCGGUGAAAUGCGUCGAGAUGUGGAGGAACACCAGUGGCGAAGGCGACUCUCUGGUCUGUAACUUGACGCUGAGGCGCGAAAGCGUGGGUGAGCGAAACAGGAUUUAGAUACCUCUGGUAGUCCCACGCCGUAA